rnacentral:lncRNA from 1 species
CCACGCGCCCCCGCCACUGGCGGCGCGUGGGUUCACGCGCCGCUGCAAGAAAAAACAGCAACCGGGGCUGGAUCGACUUCUUCUCAGCCUCCCCACGCCGGCGGUGACCUGCAGAACAAAAAAAGAACAACCACAGCAGUCGAUUUUAACUUUUUCUUAGUUUUUUUAGAUCUGUUUUUUUUUUCUUUUCUUCCCCAGAUCUGCUCCCGAUCUUCUUUCUUCCUCCCUUCUCUGUUUCAGGCGGGUCGGUUUGGCUGCGUGGACGGCGCUGUUCGGCUGAAGAAGGAGACGGCGGGUCUGAUGCGAUGGGGAACAGCUGGUUUCUGUGGGCACCGGGACUGUGGUUUCGAAGGAGGCGCCUUCGAGAGAAGAUCGAUGGAGGGGCUGCUGCGGGGGAAGA